AUGCGAAAAGUAAUGCGAUUUGCAUGAAUCUGUGAGUCAUCAAGUCUUUGAACGCACCUUGCACCGUAUGAGCAAUCGUACGGUAUACCUGUUUGAGAAUCGUAAACUUCUCUUCCAACCCACUUGUGGGAUGGAGACUUGUCGGUUCUUGUACCCUUCGGGUACUCCGAUUAAAUGUAGUAGGGUUGGAUCAGGCUGGUGGCCUGGGACACUGUGUGCUAGAGACUAGCGCGGUCUAUGACUGUGAUCUGUCUUCUCACGGUGCGUCCUGGGCCAUACAAAGCUAGCCUGUCAUCCAGUCCUCAACUGUCCACAUACAUCUCUCGGGAUGUGUGUGUACAACCCCAACAUUUUGAUCUCAAAUCAGGUAAGGCUACCCGCUGAACUUAA
rnacentral:misc_RNA from 1 species